rnacentral:rRNA from 1 species
UCCGGUUGAUCCUGCCGGAGAUCACUGCUAUUGGAAUUCGACUAAGGCAUGCGAGUCGAGAGGGUACGGCCCUCGGCGGACUGCUCAGUAACACGUGGACAAUCUGCCCUUAGGCGGGGGAUAAUCUCGAGAAAUUGAGCAUAAUACCCCAUAGCUCUAGAUUGCUGGAAUGCUUUUAGAGUGAAAGCCCCGGCGCCUAAGGAUGAGUCUGCGGCCUAUCAGGUUGUAGUGAGUGUAACGGACUCACUAGCCGACGACGGGUACGGGUCCUGGAAGGGAGAGCCCGGAGAUGGACUCUGAGACACGAGUCCAGGCCCUACGGGGCGCAGCAGCUACGAAAACUUCACAAUGCGGGAAACCGUGAUGAGGGAAUUCCAAGUGCUAAUACUUUGUAUUAGCUGUUUACUUGCCUAAAAAGCAGGUAGAGUAAGGGCUGGGUAAGACUGGUGCCAGCCGCCGCGGUAAUACCAGCAGCCCGAGUGGUGAUCGCUAUUAUUGGGCCUAAAGCGUCCGUAGCCGGUUUGGUAAACCCUUGGGUAAAUCGGGCAGCUUAACUGUCCGACUUCUGAGGAGACUGCCAGACUUGGGACCGGGAGAGGUCAGAGGUACUUCUAGGGUAGAGGUGAAAUUCUGUAAUCCUAGGAGGACCACCAGUGGCGAAGGCGUCUGACUAGAACGGGUCCGACGGUAAGGGACGAAACCCUGGGGCGCGAACCGGAUUAGAUACCCGGGUAGUCCAGGGCGUAAACGCUGCGGGCUUGGUGUUGGGGGUCCUACGAGGGCGUCCAGUGCCGGAGAGAAGUUGUUAAGCCCGCCGCCUGGGGAGUACGGUCGCAAGACUGAAACUUAAAGGAAUUGGCGGGGGAGCACAGCAACGGGUGGAGCGUGCGGUUUAAUUGGAUUCAACGCCGGAAAACUCACCGGGGGCGACGGUUAUAUGAAGGUCAAGCUGAUGACUUUACCAAAUUUUCCGAGAAGUGGUGCAUGGCCGCCGUCAGUUCGUACCGCAAGGCGUUCUGUUAAGUCAGAUAACGAACGAGACCCCUACCCCUAGUUGCCAUCAGGUCCUCCGGGACGCUGGGCAGAGUUUACUCUUUACUCUAGGGGAACCGCUGGUGCUAAACCAGAGGAAGGGAGGGGCAACGGUAGGUCAGUAUGCCCCGAAUCCCCCGGGCUACACGCGCGCUACAAAGGUUGGGACAAUGAGUUCCGAUACCGAAAGGUAAAGGUAAUCUCGAAACCCAAUCAUAGUUCGGAUUGAGGACUGUAACUCGUUCUCAUGAAGCUGGAAUCCGUAGUAAUCGCGGAUCAACAUCCCGCGGUGAAUAUGCCCCUGCUCCUUGCACACACCGCCCGUCAAACCAUCUGAGUUGGGUCUGAGUGAGGGCUCCUCAUUUUGUGGAGUUCAAACUUAGGUUCGGCAAGGAGGGUUAAGU